UGAGAAUGUUAUCCCGGAAGAGGAAAGGUGGCAGUGUUCUGGGGACAGUAUGUGGUCAUCUUGUUCUUCCUGGAAGCCUGAGGUCAAAGACCAAGAGUUACCACGAGAUCAAAUUUAUUUUAUGAACAUCAGAAAGAACAAAAUCAAGUCCAAUUGCUACAACUACAAGACCAUGGGGUGUGCAAUCAUUGACCAUAUGCCUUCCAAACAGCCAAGUAUGGGUCCUUGUGAAUCAGAAGAAAAAACCUUGGCCAUAGUGUUUGGGGAUUUCCCAGGAGGGGAGGUAGCUAAGACAACCAGUGUUGCAAAUUGUCAGGAUUCAGGAGUCAGAAAACAAAAAUAUCCCAUCUUAUCUAUACCCACCAACACUCACUUACACACAUGGGGGUGACAUCUCUAGCCCAGCUCUAUGCCGAGUCCCUCAAAUCUGUUCAAUGCCCUUCAAAGGUGCUUCAACUCCAUUUGUACCAUAGCAAACCCCAGGAUUCCCUGAGAUCCGCUUCACUGUUCUCUUCUACAGCCACCUUCCUUGGUAGCACUAAGUUGGUUUGAGAUGAAAAGUCAGAAUUCUCCCGGAUCUUUACUGAAGAUGCCCUCCAGAUUACUUUGGGUCCAUUUACUUGGAUGUCACAUCUUGGCCAUCCCACUAAGACAAUAGCUUUCCAUAAUGCAGUGCUUUUCUGAUACUGGCUGCUAACACCUCAUCUUGGGAGUCCUCCCCAGUUCAUCCUCAUAAACAGCCUGAAAGAUGAUCAAUACUACAGCAUGCUUAACUGCAAUACUCAUUAAAUUCUUACUUACUCUUCACUGUUCUGCACGUGAAAUAAAUAAGUCCAC
rnacentral:lncRNA from 1 species